AAAGCUCAAAUUUAAAAUCUGGCGGUCUUUGGCCGUCCGAGUUGUAAUCUAGAGAAGUGUUACCCGCGUCGGACCGUGUACAAGUCUCCUGGAAUGGAGCGUCAUAGAGGGUGAGAAUCCCGUCUUUGACACGGACUACCGAGGCUUUGUGGUGCGCUCUCAAAGAGUCGAGUUGUUUGGGAAUGCAGCUCAAAAUGGGUGGUAAAUUCCAUCUAAAGCUAAAUAUUGGCGAGAGACCGAUAGCGAA
rnacentral:rRNA from 1 species